AGUAAUGCUUGGGAAUCUAGCUUAUGGAGGGGGAUAACUAUGGGAAACUGUAGCUAAUACCGCGUAGAAUCGGGAGAUGAAAGUGUGGGACCUUCGGGCCACAUGCCAUAGGAUGAGCCCAAGUGGGAUUAGGUAGUUGGUGAGGUAAAGGCUCGCCAAGCCGACGAUCUCUAGCUGGUCUGAGAGGAUGACCAGCCACACUGGGACUGAGACACGGCCCAG
rnacentral:rRNA from 1 species